UUGUUUUCAGUCACAAGUUUUUGACCAUCACUAAAUGUAUAUAACUCCAGGGCACAAUAUAAAAAAAAUAUGAACAAUUAAACAGUAAAGCUUUCUUGGAGGCUUUAUCUAGUGUCACAAGAAUUUAAUAUUUCAAUAAGAGAAAGUAGCUUGGUAUUGAUAUUAGAACAUUAGAUUACAGCAUUAACAUUUAUUCAAUUUCCUGAAAGGACCCAGAAUAAUACAAACUUUGAAUCUCUAGUGAUAUCAAUAGCAAAUCACAGUGGACAUCAUUUUUUUUUUACAAAGCCUACAUCAACUCACUCUGUUUUGUAUAAAGUUAGUACACCUUAUUUCUCCCACACCCAAUCAAGCUGAAAUUUUGCACAAUUAUUUCUUUGCAUGUCAACACAAGAUUCACAAAAAAAAAAAUAAAU